AGUGAACGCUGGCGGUAGGCCUAACACAUGCAAGUCGAACGGCAGCACAGUAAGAGCUUGCUCUUACGGGUGGCGAGUGGCGGGCGGGUGAGGAAUACAUCGGAAUCUACUUUUUCGUGGGGGAUAACGUAGGGAAACUUACGCUAAUACCGCAUACGACCUACGGGUGAAAGCAGGGGAUCUUCGGACCUUGCGCGAUUGAAUGAGCCGAUGUCGGAUUAGCUAGUUGGCGGGGUAAAGGCCCACCAAGGCGACGAUCCGUAGCUGGUCUGAGAGGAUGGUCAGCCACACUGGAACUGAGACACGUUCCAGACUCCUACGGGAGGCAGCAGUGGGGAAUAUUGGACAAUGGGCGCAAGCCUGAUCCAGCCAUACCGCGUGGGUGAAGAAGGCCUUCGGGUUGUAAAGCCCUUUUGUUGGGAAAGAAAAGCAGCAGGUUAAUACCCCGCUGUUCUGACGGUACCCAAAGAAUAAGCACCGGCUAACUUCGUG
rnacentral:rRNA from 1 species